CCCUUAGACGUUCUGGGCCGCACGCGCGCUACACUGACACAGGCAACGAGCUUUCCUUUACCGAAAGGUAUGGGUAAUCUUUUGAAACUGUGUCGUGCUGGGGAUAGAUCCUUGCAAUUUUUGAUCUUAAACGAGGAAUUCCUAGUAAGCGCGAGUCAUCAACUCGCGUUGAUUACGUCCCUGCCCUUUGUACACACCGCCCGUCGCUACUACCGAUUGAAUGGCUUAGUGUGGCCUCAGGAUCCGCGCUUAAUGUGUGGAGAAUUUGGACAAACUACGUCAUUUAGAGGAAGUAAAAGUCGUAACA
rnacentral:rRNA from 1 species